GUUUAACUCAAUAACAUAUUACACUUUCCCUGCCCUGCGAAUUAGAUUGAUGACAGUGGCAUGUGAGAUUGAUAAUACAUAGAUCUGUGUUAUGACAGCCAUUGUUUUAGUGCCAAGUUGAAGAGAAAUGCUUCCUUAAAUGUAUCAUUGUAUAAAAUAUUGACCUGGAGAACUUCAUUAUUCAAGCUGGAGAGACAGUCACUACUUAACAGUAAUAAACUGUUUCUGUGUUACAUUGAGAAUACUUCGGGAAAUAUGAGAGUUGUCAAAUCUCUUGAAAAUCCUGUCUUUAUAGUACACAUGACACUAAAGCUAUAGCUGUAUUUUCUGCUAAUAAAAGCAAAGGCACAGACAGAUGUGAAGGAUAUCAUGGCGUACUGACAAGAAACUAAGAAAAAUGAAUACCUAGUUGAGGAGUCGGAAAGACACAGGCCAAUGACCUUGGGAAGCUUUACUCUUUUGAGAUAUUUUUUUGUUCUUGUAAGGAAAGCAAAGAUAAUGCUGCAUUAGUGUAAAAAAUAAAAUAAACCUGAGGCUCUAAACUGAACACAUGAAAAAUAUCCUGAAGUGUCUCUUAACCAAAAGUCAAGUUAGAUAACAUAAAAAUAAAAAAUGCUGAAUGCCAGCCAGAAUAUCUUAGGAAAGAAAGACAUUGUAGAAGUUUCCAAAAAUGAUAUACAGAAGUGCAUGUUUUUUUUAAAAAGACAGUUUAAACCAGUAUGACAUUUCUUUGAUUUGUUAAAUUAGAAAAAUCUUUUCUUAAUCUCAACACCUUCUUUCCUCCUGUGAGCAUCGUUAAUGAAGCCCCUCCCUUUUUAACAAAAACUGUGGUUAAUGUUAUUACAAAGGUAAAGACAUCUUACAUGCAUUGCUUUUACAGUUAACUUCCUAUUUGUGUAGAACAGAAACAACCAAAAUUAAAGAAUUGGAAAAUAUUAGCAUAUAACAAACUUGCUAAUUGAUGUUUAGUAUAACUAGUCAUCUUGAAGUGCCUCAUUUAAUACUUAAAGAAUGAGUACACAUCAGAGUUUAGUGAUUUAUUUUCUAAUUGUUAGAAUUUGUAAUUCCGUGAAGAAUAUAUGUGAUAAUGCUUAGUUUUUCACAAUAUCAAAUCUCACAGAAUACCAAUAGAUAAUUCUAUUCUAAAUUUUUUCAGGUAUCUGAAGCUGGUUUUAUUUAACCAAAAUGUCUUUGUUAUGGUAAAACUUCAUUUCUUUGGUAAUACCUAUGAGUAACAGUGUAAAUCACAUACUUAUUUAUAAAAUGACUAUGGAGAGCUCAAUUCAUAGAUAUUAUAUUUUCUCCAGUUUACAUAUUGUGGGUAGAAUGAUUUUCCAUUACGUAGCAUAAUUAUUUUGCUUUAAUUUGUUAACAUUUUCAUAAAGAAGCAUCAUAUUACUAUAUUGCCCAAAAUGUUUUCAAAAGCUCUUAAAAUAUGUGAUCCUAGAAGGAAAUAUAGAUGCGCGCGCGCAAGCGCGCGCGCACACACACACACACACACACACACACACACACACACAGAAGGAAACUAAGAGCUAAGGAGUAUGAGACAUUUUAAAAGGAAAAAAAUGGUGUCAUGUUUCUAAUGGAUACAAGCAAGGUAGAAUAAUAAAAAUGUUAACACACACCCUUACUACCAAACUUGUGUGCUUUAUCUUUAAUCUGUUAAUUAAUAUGAAUACAAAAUUUAUCUGUGCCACAUGUCCUUGGAUUCAUUUUAAAUUAACUAACAGUUGGCUCCUGCAUUCCAUAGUUCUAGAAGCCUUUGUUUUAUUUAAGACCUGGUUCAGCAGUUCUAAAGGAACUUGAGGCUUUACAUAUCAUUCCCCUAAGUGAUCAUUUCUUGCAGUCUGCUCAGUGGUGGGAAUAGGUAGGGUGGCCUCUUCUUUCUCAGACUUUUCACCUUAAAAGUUGGUUAAGUAUUUUUAUGUUAGAAGUUCUUGCAUAUUUUAUACCAAGGAAAUUAAAAAUUAUUGAAAAUGAAGCAGUUAAUUAAAGUGCAUGCUAUUAAUAGUUGAAUAUCUCCUAGAUGGAACUAAUUAAGAAAAGCAUCCACAAAUAAUCAGCAAAGUGAAAGCAUGGGCUUUCUGGGACAAAAUGCCAUGUGAUAACUCAUUCAUGAGGUACCAAGAAAUGGUCUACUUUUUUGGAUAUAAGACUCUAAGGCUCUUCAGCUAUAAAGUCAGGUGAUUCCCUUAUAUUAUCUCUGCUGUUAGUAGCAAUUUGACCAUCUGGCAUAUGACAUACAUUAUAGGUCCAUGUCUUUCCUCUUUAUGUGUUGUGCUAUCAACUACACACAAAAAAAUGAUCAAGUAUUUUUGAUAUUCAUCAAGGAUUAUAAAUCACUAUGUAAUUAUAAGUUUAAGUCAAAUUGGCAAAAUAAAUAGAAACCUUCACAGUGUACUGAAAAGUUUCUAUUUAUAGUUGAGCCAUGGUGAACUUACAUGGAACAUUAUACUUGAAUUCGGCUGCUUCAACAUAGUCAAACAUAUUUAAACAGUUCUUUUCUACAUAGCAGUACUGUAUUCUCUUAGAGAAGUUUCCAUAUCAUUCUCCCUUUCCAAACUAUCAUUCUAGCUUUUAGUACUAAAAGAAAAUGUAAGAGAUGCUAAAUUUUAUUUCCUGGCAGGCGUAACAUGUCAAGUAGCAGUGAGAUAACCAACCUGUGUAUUACUGAGAUGUUCUAGAACAUGUCAGGAAAUCAUACCUAUUUCAAUUGUCAUGCCCCCUCUUGUAGCUGGCACUCAGGACAUUCAUCAGCUCCCUUCCUGUUGGGUUACUUGAUAUAGAAUUAAACCAUCAGUUCUGGUUCCAGGAUUCUUCAACAGUCAAAGUAGUACAUCUUAAAAUGGCCAUCUUAAGUAGUGUCUUAAAAUGCGUCAUAGAAUGAUGGAGAGCAAAGGUAAGAAAACCCAUCAAUAGGACUUUCCUAAUAGUAUGUUUUUUUGCCUUCAUAGGGGCUAAUUCUAGUGCUCCUGGCAUCUCAGGUGUUUUUUGUUUGUUUGUUUUGGUUUAUUAAGAUUAUAAGCCAUUUUUUGUCUACCUUAGGUAGGUAUAUACAUAUUUAUUCCCAUUCACUCUCAUUCUACUCCUACCUUUUCGUGUUGCAUGUUAAGACUAAGAUGAUAGCAGGAGGCCUUGGUUAAGGGUUCUCUCUAGCCUUUCUCUACCCACAGAAUCCAUAGCCCCAUUUCUCACCUCUAAGAAUGGAACCAGAAGCCAUUGACCUCAAUUGAAGACAAAGCACAGCAUAAAAUAAAACCAUUGGGUUUCAGAGUGAGAGCAGAGGGAGUAAGAGAGCUAAAGGAGAUAAGGAGACAGAUUGGUAAUGAAAGGAGUGAGAGGAAGGAAAGGGAAAGAUAGGAGUAAAGGAUCCAGCAAAGGUUCUUACAGGAUGGGCCAACAGUGGUGAUCUCAUGGGAUACAAUUGAGACUGCUUCUAGACCUGGACUUAAUGGACACUACAGCUUGCAAGCCAUUAUGCAGACCUAUAGCCACACGUGUUUUGUGUAUUGUUUGGGUCUUCCUUUAUAGGAUUAAUCUUGUGUUAAGAUCUGUUGGUAAGGAGUUCCAACUGUGGCAUAGAGGAAUGGGGCAUCUUUGGAGCACUGGGCUGCAGGUUAGACCCCCGGUCGGGCACAGUGGUUUAAGGAUUCGGCAUUGAGUAUCUGUGGCACAGGUUGCAACUGUGGCUUGGAUCUUAUCCUUGGCCCGGGAACUACACAUGCUGUGGGCCAUCUAAAAAGGUGGAAAAACAGAUCUUAUGGUCAUAGACUUUAUUCUCCCUCUGUCCCAACAUUAAUGGUAGGGUGUUGAUUAGAUGAGUACAAUUUUAUUUGGAUGAAGAAGAGAUAAAAUAGUCUGGGAUUUAAAGUUUUAAAGUACAGGUCUGCAGGCAGAGGAGGAUACAUUAGCUCCCUCGUGUGUUUCUCAUCUCUAUCACUGGGUUUCCUCUUCCACACAAAGGAGUCAAUCAAGACAUAGAUGCAAACUGGCCACCUCUUUAAAGAUGAAUUGCAUGAAAUGUUGUUCUUAAGUGAGAACCAUGGGAUAGAGCAUCUGGUACUUUAGCCCUGUGAAAGGCUGGCAUUAUGAUAAUUAGUAGAGACAAAUGUGCAAGUCAUAUAACCAGUGUUCUCAGAUGCGUUUGCAAAUGAAAUGCCAAUUUACUAAUUUAAAUUGGGAAUCAAUCUGCUCUCAUAGGAGAACAUCAGUGUCCAGUGGUCAGGGGAACCGAGUUCCAAGAAUUGAGGCAAUUGAGAAACUUAAUUCAUACUGAAAAAUACACUUGGUAGAUGUAGCUUUAGGAGAAUAUAUGUUUUUUAAUCCAGCUGGUGGUCUAAACUGUGAUUUCCAAACUAAAGUACUUUGGCAGAAUGUGUGAGUUGCAUAGACUUAAAGUACUAAUUUUACUAUAAGACUUUUUUUUUUUAAUCAGGAAUUAGCUAAGCAAUUUAAACACAUUUGUAUUAAACACAAAGUAUGUUUUAGAGUAUGCAGAGAAAUGCAAAAGGCACAAAGUUAUUUUUAGAUAAAACAAAAUGUCCCUUUUUUGAGGAGCUUUGGUACUAGAAAAAACGGGUUCCAUACAAACUGGAUUGUGCACCGAUGGUUUUAUUUCUUAACUUUUUAGUGAACUCUAAUCAGAAAAUUGUGGAAAAGUCUUCAACCAAAUUGAUAACCUCCAGUGAUGAGAGGUUGGAGAUGCAAGUGUGGGAGGCACACUUGACACAUCCUUUCCCCUCCAGCGCAUCUCUGGAUAGGCUUCUCUUUGACCAUUGUCCAUUUGUACUCAUCUUUACAGCCUCAUUCAUUCUUUUUUCCAUAUACUUUCAUAACUUUUCUAAAUUUAUGGCUUAUUUUGCAUUGAUUACAUUCUAGGUUGACUGCUUCCUGAUGAUAUAUAAAGGGCACCUUAAUCUCAUGUGUUUCUAAAUCACAGUGCAGGUUGACUUACUUUAUAAAAGGUUUGCUAACUCCAUCUCCAUUAUGUAGAUUUUGAUCAACAAUUACAUGAAGUAGAUCAUUUUUUCCCAAGUGUUUUUCUAUUUCCUUUACCCUUCUCUUAACUGUUUUUUGACCUAGGGUUUUAGAUAACAUUGCUUUUCAGCUUUAAUCUUUAUCUCCAGUAACAUUUUUUUUUUUUUGAGUGAUCCUCAUUUUAAAAAGUUUAAAUAAAAGUAAAACCUUCCAAAGAAGAGCUAGGUCUUUUAAUCUAUGUUGAGACCAUUUAGAUUAAAAACUCAAUUUUCCAAUCUUUAUGAAAUCAAGCCUACUAUAAUCAAAACUCG
rnacentral:lncRNA from 1 species